rnacentral:rRNA from 1 species
AAUCAACGCUGGCGGCGUGCCUCAGACAUGCAAGUCGAACGAGAACCUCCCUUCGGGGGAGGAGACAGUGGCGCACGGGUGAGUAACACGUGGGUAAUUUACCUUGGGUGGGGAACAACAGCCGGAAACGGCUGCUAAUACCGCAUAAUGCAGCGGCUCGACAUCGAGACAGUUGUUAAAGGCGGGGGAUCGCAAGACCUCGCGCCU